rnacentral:tRNA from 2 species
GGGCGCGUAGCUCAGGGGUAGAGCUCUCGGCUUACAACCGAGCGGUCGGCGGUUCGAAACCGUCCGCGCCCA